rnacentral:rRNA from 1 species
UACGUAGGGUGCGAGCGUUGUCCGGAAUUAUUGGGCGUAAAGGGCUCGUAGGCGGUCUGUUGCGUCGGGAGUGAAAACUCAGGGCUUAACCCUGAGCCUGCUUCCGAUACGGGCAGACUAGAGGUAUGCAGGGAGAACGGAAUUCCUGGUGUAGCGGUGAAAUGCGCAGAUAUCAGGAGGAACACCGGUGGCGAAGGCGGUUCUCUGGGCAUUACCUGACGCUGAGGAGCGAAAGUGUGGGGAGCGAACAGG